rnacentral:rRNA from 1 species
UACGGGGGGGGCAAGCGUUGUUCGGAAUUACUGGGCGUAAAGGGCUCGUAGGUGCCAACUAAGUCAGACGUGAAAUCCCUCGCUUAACCGGGGAACUGCGUCUGAUACUGGAUGGCUUGGAUUCGGGAGAGGAAUGCGGAAUUCCAGGUGUAGCGGUGAAAUUCGUAGAUAUCGGGAGGAACACCAGUGGCGAAGGCGGCGAUCUGGGCCAAUAUUGACGCUGAGGUGCGAAAGCGUGGGGAGCAAACAGGG